UACGAAGGGGGCUAGCGUUGCUCGGAAUCACUGGGCGUAAAGGGUGCGUAGGCGGGUCUUUAAGUCAGGGGGGAAAUCCUGGAGCUCAACUCCAGAACUGCCUUUGAUACUGAGGAUCUUGAGUUCGGGAGAGGUGAGUGGAACUGCGAGUGUAGAGGUGAAAUUCGUAGAUAUUCGCAAGAACGCCAGUGGCGAAGGCGGCUCACUGGCCCGAUACUGACGCUGAGGCACGAAAGCGUGGGGAGCGAACGGG
rnacentral:rRNA from 1 species